UUCAUUCACUGUAAGAGAAAAUAAGAUUGAAUCUUAAGCAGCAUUGAUUAAGGUUGAAUGGAGAAAUGAAAUUGAAAGAUAGGUGCCUCAUGGAGAAUUCUGCAAAAAGUUAUGUGAGAAGUCUUUGGGAUUUGGUAAUGUUAUAAAUGGCUUAGUUAUGGAACCCUCAGUAAUUGAACUGCUUGAAGUUUUCUGUGAGGGAGAAUAUGGCUAUUAAAGGAUGGAAGUAUGAGUUUUAAGAUUACGAUCAGAAGUUAGAAGCCUAAUUUGCUAAAUACUGUAUUUGGUAAAAAUAUGAAUGCAUUUGGUGGUAGAGUGAGUGGAUGCCUGUUUGACUGCAAAAUGCAGGUGAAUUGGGAAAUUGGGGGGGGAUAUAAAUUCUCCAAUAGAAGCAUACAGUUGUGGGAUUACAAAACAUUUGAUACCAGGGCUGUGCAGUGCUUUGUAUUGAAAGAGGGGGGGAAAUGAUUUGGAACACGUGAAGGUGCUCAUGUUGUACCUAUUUACAUUUUCUUAAGCAGCUGCAUCUUUCCCUGGGGUUCCACACUUGCCUAAUGCAGAUGCAAUACCAUCCUGUAAAAAAUUGUGUUUGGUUUUAGUGGUCAUAGAUUAUGCUAUUUGUGUACCCCAGUGUGUUUCAGGCAUCUUUUUGUUUUCCAAUACAAAAUCUAAGGUAUGAUUUUGAGCCAAGAAGCUGUAGGCUUCUCAGUUGCCAUGCUACUGUCUAGAUAUCCUGUCCAUCCCUUUUAAUAGCACUGAGCAUAAACUUCCCAUUGCCACUGAUGUAUGUAAGGGAGAUGAAGAGGAGGUUGAAAAAGGCAACAGAAGUGAGGAAAUGCAAGAUGCCCAGAGCCAAUAUUUCAAGGCAAUUAACACUGAGGAAGAGAACUGGUUGGAAAAUGGACCCGUAAAGAUGGUAAGUCAUAAGAAAAGAGAUCAAUACCACAGCACUGUAUUUAUUUUCCAAGAAAGAAGAGCUGUGAAUCUGAGUUCCUGAAAGAACUUUUGUACACGCUGCUAAAACUUGGAAACUUUCAUCACACUAGUAUGAUCUACCAUCACUUAAUUAACACAUUUCGAAUGAAAUUCAUUGAACUUGCAAAAAAAAAAAAAAACGGAUUGAAAUUGAAGUAAAUGUGUACACUUCAGCUUCCUGUAGGUGGAGCUAUUUAGUUCAUGUAAUUAAUUAUUGCUAAAAUGAAAAAUUGGACUUAAGGUUUAAGAUGGAGGAACCAGAAGGAGAAAGAUAAUGUCUGAAAUUACGUUUAAGUUUAAGAUAAAAUUUACCUUCGGCCAGAACAACAAUUGUGUCCCCUUUCUGAAACUCCAGAUCUUCUGCCUGAGUGGCUUCAAUCAGCCUAUGCAGAUUCAUCCCAGGAAGAGUUCUUGAGGGCCUUUACUGCCCAAGGAGAAUCAAGGUAGCCCUUUCUUACUGUUGGCCCCAUGCUAUGGAAUAUCCUCGCCCCUGAAUCACAGGGCAACCCCAUUUUAUUUGUCUUUGACGAAGCUGUGAAAACCACCCUAUUCAAGCAGAGUUUCAAUGUGAGUGGUGGAUUGGGCUAUUUUGUAAUUUUUUGUGGUAUCUAUGGUGGAGUGAUUUAUGGAUUAUUGUAAUGGUCUGUGAGCAUAAACUUGGGAUAUUGGAGGAAGAACCACAGUCUAGACAACCGUCUGAAAAGAGGAAUCUGAAUCUAAAUAAGGGAUGGAGAUGGAGGAAGCAUCUCAGAAAAGAACCAUCCUAAUUCUUCAGACUUGCAAAUUUCUGUUACUGUAUAACCUUAUAAGAAAAGUACUGUUAGUAUUCAUGGUUCUGGUUUCCUGUCUGCAUUAUCUCAAGGCACUAACAUCAAUCUGGUUGAAAUACAGUGGUGUUGAAAUGUUGUAAUAAAUACAUAUAUACACGUGUUGUCGGUUCACAUUAAAAAUAGUAUCAACAUCUUCUAGUCAUAAUCUGGAGCACAUAAAUGAUAUUGCUUUGGCAUCAGAGGUUCCAAUUAGCUAUUACGGUAAAUAAUACUGCUGGAUAUUUAACUUUAAUAUUAAAGUUAAAACCAGAUUGUAAAAUCAGUGGUAGUUUAUCCAUACAACAGUAGGGAAGUUAGACAACAAAUCUAACCGCUCUUUAAAAAAUCCAAAAUUCAAAGUUUAUUAUAUGUUAAAACAAAUAUUAAAACUGAAAGCUUGCUUGUAAUGUUAUGCUUUUUGUCUAACCAGGCACUUUCUAUAUCCUUGCAUAUCUUUAUCCUUGCAUAUUUUAUUGGCUGUUAUAUAUAAAAUUGUAUUCACACAAUUUGGAUGUUGUUCAUCUUUCUGCUUUCCCAUGAAGAAAAAAAAAAUCCAUGGAUAACAAGUGUAGUAUAGAGCGACAAGAUCUUGUCUGUUCUGAAAAAAGCAGCAUGGAAUAGAAAUAACUGUUUGAUAUUUACAGACCUUAUGAAACUGUGCAUAUGCAGUUACUUUCUUGUCAGAAAGAAAAUGUAGAUUUUCCCAGAUAAAUGUAUUUUCUAUUGACUAAGAAAAGGUGAAAGGUAAACCUUGAGUUAUCUUUUUAUAAAGCUAUUUCACAUUUGUAAGGCAUUUAUGUUAAUCUGUUGAUGGUAAAGAUAUAUAGAAUUGUGACAUUUUCCAAUAGCUAUUUCAACCCAUCAACCUCAUUGGGUAGGCCAGUAAUGGCUAACCUUUUCUGGACCAAGUGGCCAAAGCGUGUGUGUGUGUGAGAAUGCACAUGUGCAUGCCCAACCCCCCAAAAUGCAAUGUGCGCACAGCCCUGUGCACAUGCCCCACUCCCUGCGCAUGCGCACAUGUCCCCCCGCAGCACCCCGCCCCACGCAGCAGAGAGCCGAAGACCAGUUGGCCAACGGGAGGCGCGCACACAUGCACAGUAGAGCUGAACUGGGGCGAUGGCUCGCAUGCCAUCAGAAAGGGUGCUAUGUGCUACCUCUGGCAUGCGUGCCAUAAAUUUGCCAUCAUGGGGAAGGCCAUUGCCCAUAAGUGCUGUGGUGGCGCAGUGGUUAGAAUGUAGUGCUGCAGACUACUUCUGCUAACUGCUGGCUGCCUGCAAUUUGGUAGAUUGAAUCUCACCAGGCUCAAGGUUGACUCAGCCUUCCAUCCUUCUAAGGUGGGUAAAACAAGGACCCAGAUUGUUGGGAGCAAUAUGCUCUCUGUAAACCACUUAGAGAGGACUGUAAAGCACUGUGAAGCGAUAUAUAAGUCUAAGUGCUAUUGCUAUCUCAUCCUCUGUCAUCCCCUUCUCCUUUUGUCUUCAGUUGUUUCCAACAUCAGGGUCUUUUCCAGUGAGUCCUCUUUUCUCAUUUGGUGGCCAAAGUAUUUUUACAUACAUUGUUACUACCGUAUUUACAGUAUGUUUUAAUGAUGUAGUUUCACCAACUUACUUGUAUCUCAGCUAGAUUAUUUCCAAGUCUAACCUGUGGUCCAGUGUAUGCACAUCACUUAGAAUGAUUGUAUUUUACAUUAAUUUAGGGAUCAACCUACCAAUUUGUCAUUGCUGCCAAAUCCCCUCCCAAAGUUGCACUGAUGUUGUAAUUUUUAAUGUGUAAGAAGAAAAAAGUUGUUAACACAUGGGAAAUAAUUGUAUGAACAGUACUAAUUACAUUUAAUUUAAAUGUAAAUUAAAUGUAGUUUGUGAUAGCUUCAUCCACCUUUGGGAAUGAAAGGCAAAAUGCAGUCUCCCACCUGGCAAAUGAGGCAUAUUAAACACAAUGAAGCCUAAUCAGUCUUUCAAAUUAUAACUUCUAGUUCACCAAGUAUUUUAAGCCAAUGGAUGUGUCCUAUUUGCAUGCCAGAAUAAUACAUCCAUAUUACAUCCAAUUUGUUAUCUGCCAUGAUUUACUGUAUACAUUCUGCAUAUUCUCCUUCAAAGCAGUAAUAAAAAAUCACCAGAA